CGGGGUAUAGCUCAGUGGUAGAGCACUCGCAGAUCGAGAGGUCCCGCGUUCCAACCGUGUGCCCCUU